UUGUUGCUGUAUUUCAUAUGACGCUUAACUAUUGCAAAUACAAAUUUCAGCUAAAUAGACCCUUCAAUUUAAAAACAGUAUCAUUCUCCAAUUUUAAGGAGAAAGUGAAGACGGAGAUGCCUUAAAGACUCAGCAAGUGCUAAAUUGGCAAAUGUCAAAUGUUAAAAUAAGUUUAUAUUAAAUGUUAAAGUAUUUGCCUGGAAUGACUUUUCCAUUGUCCUGCUUGAGAAACACAGAGGUGCCUCCUUAUUACUUUUAUAUUUGCUUUACAAAGACAAAUGUAUCAGCAUGCUCUGUAUUAACUGUAUGUUACAUUUUUGUCAUAUCCACACAGACUGAUGCAUGUCUGUGCAUGGUUUAUAAUAAGUGCACGUAAAAAUAGAGAAAAUAAGUAGAAAAAGAGAGAGAGAUUUAACUCCCCCCCCCCAAAAAAGCAGAUUAAAUUACUUUUCAUUACUUUUUUUUUUCCCCCCCCUUCAGCUUCAGCUCUCCCUCAGCGCAGGAGGAGGCUGUGGGCUGCGGACUGAGUGCUGGAAUGAGGAGUAAUUGAGCUUCAGCUGAGCCGGAGGUAGCUUUCUCCUCCCGGUGUCAUUGCUGCAGCCUCCAGUGCCGGGUCCCUAGUUUCUCAGCUGCCUCUCUUCCCGGUGCAACAUCGCCUGUAAAGACAGCAAAGCCGCUGCAGAAGUUGCCCGGCAGAAGGCUCCGGAGGCAUUGGCUCAGUAACUUUUCACGUCAUUUUCUGCUCGGGAGCCCCUUCUCGCCUCUCCGCGCAGCCUUUCCCACCGCAAAUCACCAGUGCUCAUGGGGCAGGCAGAGAGGAGCUUGCAGCAUUGAGCGGAACCGGACUCGAGCCCGUGAUGUCCGGCACCAAAUUGGAGGACUCCCCUCCUUGUCGCAACUGGUCAUCUGCUUCGGAGCUGAAUGAAACUCAAGAGCCCUUUUUAAACCCCACCGACUAUGACGAUGAGGAAUUCCUGCGGUACCUGUGGAGGGAAUACCUACACCCGAAAGAAUAUGAGUGGGUCCUGAUCGCCGGGUACAUCAUCGUGUUCGUCGUGGCUCUCAUUGGGAACGUCCUGGUUUGUGUGGCAGUGUGGAAGAACCACCACAUGAGGACAGUAACCAACUACUUCAUAGUCAAUCUUUCUCUGGCUGAUGUGCUUGUGACCAUCACCUGCCUUCCAGCCACACUGCUCGUGGAUAUCACUGAGACCUGGUUUUUUGGACAGUCCCUUUGCAAAGUGAUUCCUUAUCUACAGACCGUGUCAGUGUCUGUGUCUGUCCUCACAUUGAGCUGUAUCGCCUUGGAUCGGUGGUAUGCAAUCUGUCACCCUUUGAUGUUUAAGAGCACAGCAAAGCGGGCCCGUAACAGCAUUGUCAUCAUCUGGAUUGUCUCCUGCAUUAUAAUGAUUCCUCAGGCCAUCGUUAUGGAGUGCAGCUCCAUGUUCCCGGGCUUAGCCAAUAAAACCACCCUCUUUACAGUGUGUGAUGAGCGCUGGGGUGGUGAAAUUUAUCCCAAGAUGUACCACAUCUGUUUCUUUCUGGUGACAUAUAUGGCACCACUGUGUCUUAUGGUGUUGGCUUAUCUGCAAAUAUUUCGUAAACUCUGGUGUCGACAGAUUCCUGGAACAUCGUCUGUAGUUCAGAGAAAAUGGAAGCCCCUGCAGCCUGUUUCACAGCCUCGAGGGCCAGGACAGCCGACAAAGUCCCGGAUAAGCGCUGUGGCGGCUGAAAUAAAGCAGAUCCGAGCCAGAAGGAAAACAGCCCGGAUGUUGAUGGUUGUGCUUUUGGUAUUUGCAAUUUGCUAUCUACCAAUUAGCAUCCUCAAUGUGCUAAAGAGAGUAUUUGGGAUGUUUACCCACACCGACGACAGAGAGACUGUGUAUGCCUGGUUUACCUUUUCACACUGGCUUGUAUAUGCCAAUAGUGCUGCGAAUCCAAUUAUUUAUAAUUUUCUCAGUGGUGAGUUUUCAACUUUUCUUCCAUAAGCCACAGUUCUAACCAAGGAUGAGAAAUCAAUGAACACUCUUCAAUUACAUGAAGAGUUUAGUUGCUAUGAAAAUUUCGAGAGGAAUUUAAAGCUGCAUUUUCUUGCUGUUGCCUUGGAGUUCACCAUCGCCAGGAGGAUCGGCUAACCAGGGGACGAACUAGCACAGAGAGCCGGAAGUCCUUGACCACUCAGAUCAGCAACUUUGAUAACAUAUCAAAACUUUCCGAGCAAGUCGUGCUCACUAGCAUAAGCACACUCCCAGCAGCCAAUGGAGCAGGACCACUUCAAAACUGGUAGAAUAUUGGUUCAUAUGACAAGGAUACCUGAGUAAAACUAUCCUUUUUAAAAUCACUGGGAACAAAAAUUUUAUUAUCCUAUUGAUGUGAAACUAAAAUUACUUGUGGAUCUUUUUUUUUUUUUUUUUUUUUUUAAAUCUAUUGCUCUUUGGAAAUAAAAAAAAAGUCAGUUUAAAAUGAUUUCUCAACUUUUGAUUUAAAUAUGUUAGAAGUUUAACUUUCAACUGAACUUAUUUCAGGCUAUUUCACUUUUAGUUUCGUGUAUUAUAAUGUGUGUUAAUUAAAUGUUUAAACAUUUCUAA